rnacentral:siRNA from 1 species
CAAAUAAUUUUUCAGUGUCCAUA